rnacentral:rRNA from 1 species
GAUGAACGCUGGCGACGUGCCUAAUACAUGCAAGUCGAGCGAACGGACGAGAAGCUUGCUUCUCUGAUGUUAGCGGCGGACGGGUGAGUAACACGUGGAUAACCUACCUAUAAGACUGGGAUAACUUCGGGAAACCGGAGCUAAUACCGGAUAAUAUUUUGAACCGCAUGGUUCAAAAGUGAAAGACGGUCUUGCUGUCACUUAUAGAUGGAUCCGCGCUGCAUUAGCUAGUUGGUAAGGUAACGGCUUAUCAAGGCAACGAUGCAUAGCCGCCCUGAGAGGGUGAUCGGCCACACUGGAACUGAGACACGGUCCAGACUCCUACGGGAGGCAGCAGUAGGGAAUCUUCCGCAAUGGGCGAAAGCCUGACGGAGCAACGCCGCGUGAGUGAUGAAGGUCUUCGGAUCGUAAAACUCUGUUAUUAGGGAAGAACAUAUGUGUAAGUAACUGUGCACAUCUUGACGGUACCUAAUCAGAAAGCCACGGCUAACUACGUG